AUUGCCCUAGUAACGGCGAGUGAAGCGGCAACAGCUCAAAUUUGAAAUCUGGCUUUCGGGCCCGAGUUGUAAUUUGUAGAGGAUGACUUUGAUGCGGUGCCUUCCGAGUUCCCUGGAACGGGACGCCAUAGAGGGUGAGAGCCCCGUCUGGUUGGAUGCCAAAUCUCUGUAAGUCUCCUUCGACGAGUCGAGUAGUUUGGGAAUGCUGCUCUAAAUGGGAGGUAUAUGUCUUCUAAAGCUAAAUACCGGCCAGAGACCGAUAGCGCACAAGUAGAGUGAUCGAAAGAUGAAAAGCACUUUGAAAAGAGAGUUAAAAAGUACGUGAAAUUGUUGAAAGGGAAGCGUUUAUGACCAGACUUGGGCUUGGUUAAUCAUCUGGGGUUCUCCCCAGUGCACUUUUCCAGUCCAGGCCAGCAUCAGUUUUCGCCGGGGGAUAAAGACUUCGGGAAUGUGGCUCCUCUCGGGGAGUGUUAUAGCCCGUUGUGUAAUACCCUGGCGGGGACUGAGGUUCGCGCUUCUGCAAGGAUGCUGGCGUAAUGGUCAUCAACGACCCGUCUUGAAACACGGACCAAGGAGUCGUCUUCGUAUGCGAGUGUUCGGGUGUAAAACCCCUACGCGUAAUGAAAGUGAACGCAGGUGAGAGCUUCGGCGCAUCAUCGACCGAUCCUGAUGUUCUCGGAUGGAUUUGAGUAAGAGCAUACGGGGCCGGACCCGAAAGAAGGUGAACUAUGCCUGUGUAGGGUGAAGCCAGAGGAAACUCUGGUGGAGGCUCGCAGCGGUUCUGACGUGCAAAUCGAUCGUCAAACAUGGGCAUGGGGGCGAAAGACUAAUCGAACCUUCUAGUAGCUGGUUUCCGCCGAA
rnacentral:rRNA from 1 species